ACUCUUUUUUCAAAAACAGUUUCUUCGCCUUUUCUCAACCUUUGACCCCCAAUAUAGUCUCCAUCGUUUUCCCCAACCCUCCCCUGUCACUGCCUUCAGUCAUCAAUUUGCUACCCUCACCGAAGCUGUUUCCCCCUCUCUUUCUUUUCUCUAAUUUACCAAAUCCUUCUCUCUACAACGAUGAAGAACUUCUUAGGUCCCUUAAAAUCAGCCCGACUUCUCACAAAAAGCUUUCCUCCCAUUGUAUUGCGUCCUGCUACCGUCUUUUCGGAGUCGCUGCCUUACAGUUCGACGUCAAGAACAUGUUUACUGUGAUCGGACCAGUCUUUCUCCAAAAGCUUUACCAAGAGAGUAGGAGAGAAAGAUCUAUGGGAGGCCCUUCACUACUGUCAGACCAGUCCCCUCUGAUACUGAUGAAGAGAUUGCUACAUCAAUUGCUGAUUUGACACAACCGGAUGAAGCAUGGAGUCAAAUGUUUUGUCUAUGAGAUUGUUCUGGUCAUAGUGACAUUACUAUGUAAUUAUAGUGGGGCAGAAAUUAGAAGGAAUUCGCUAGAAAGUUCUCCUGCUUGCUAAAUUACCAAAUCUGAAAGAAAAUACCAUUGCUUUUACCUACUAUGUGCCACACCACCUGAGGGAGGAUUUGAUAUGAUCUGCAUUUGGAGAUACAAGAUUGAAACUCUAGAGCAGUUAAGAUUUUUAUUAUUAUUUUUUCUGGCUUAUUUAUUGACUUUCUACCAAGUUUUUAUGCGCUAAGACUAAUUGAUUGCAAAUGGAUAUGUUUUUCAGUUUAAGCAAGCUGAAGAAACAGCAUUGAAGCUUGAUUUGGACAGGCAUUAAUAUGUUGCUUCUUAUGCAGUGAGCCACAUCAAGUGCAGUUUCUAUUCAUUAUAAUGUCUAUCAAUAUUGUAUGCUUUGUUUGAGGACUCAAGCUGUGUUACAAAGCUGUUUGUACCAUAACAUUGUUCAUUUCCCUGCCUUUGUAUUGAUUAAUAACAGCAGCUAGAUAAAUGUGUGGCCUAGCAAAAUGCCACAUGUUGAAGUUAUCAUUUCUUUGAACAUUAAA